UAUGUACUCCCUCCGUCCGGAAAUACUCGUCAUCAAAAUGGAUAAAAAAAAGAUGUAUCUCCAGAAAUACUCGUCAUCAAAAUGGAUAAAAAAAAGAUGUAUCUACUGAUACAUCUUUUUUUUAUCCAUUUUGAUGACGAGUAUUUCCGGACGGAGGGAGUAUAGA
rnacentral:pre_miRNA from 1 species